rnacentral:lncRNA from 1 species
GCAGGUUCAGAGACCAAAACAUCUGUCCCUGUGCAUCUUGUAGAGUUGGGGAACUGGGACUCCUGUGACCCAUGUAGAUACGGUGCUUCCCUCUGACUCGAAGGGUUUGGCCCCCGACCCCGGAACGGCCUGAAGCUUGGACUGUCGGCCCUGCCCUUCUUCUGGGCUGGGAGAAAGGGCAGGCAAGAGGCCUUGGGGGUUGGGGCGGGAGACCGAAGGUGGGGAUGUGCCGCUGUGUACAGCCGACUUGCCUGCCCAUCACCCAAACACCAAGUUCCGCUCGCAGAGGAAGUGAGAGGUGUCCGAUUCGGUCUCCCAGAACGCAGCUGGGCUGCCUGAAACGAGCGCCGCGGCGACUCUGAAGGAGGUGUCAUCCCUGGGCCAGUACAGGAUUGAGUCACAGAAGCCGCCACUCCUGCGUCAAAAAUACUGGGCCAUUGUCCCAGGGAGUUUGGCCCCUCAGUCGUCAUUUCCGACCCGCUCCCUGGAAUCCCAAUGAAGGAAAAAGGGGAGGAAAAGAAGCGGAAACCAGAAUGGCUAAGCAAGCCGAGGAAGACGAGCCCCGGCCAGCUGGAGCAGCACCUGAGUGUGCGACCCCACCCCCCACUGGGGCAUCUUCUCCUUGGUUACAUUCCAGACCCGGAAGCGAAUCCCGGCUGUAUGGUGUCCAAAGACCUACAAUCUGGGGGCAUUCCUUAAUAAAAAGAAUCCAAGAUUCUGAAAACAAACUUAAGUACAAAAGUCCGUGUCCCCCAACUAGACUUUCAGCUCCUUGUGAGCAGGGGCCCCUGGUGCCUCUGGACUCGCCGAAUGGCACGUGGAG